rnacentral:rRNA from 1 species
UGGGGAAUAUUGGACAAUGGGCGCAAGCCUGAUCCAGCCAUGCCGCGUGUGUGAAGAAGGCCUUCGGGUUGUAAAGCACUUUCAGCGAGGAGGAAGGAGUUGUAGUUAAUAGCUGCAACUUUUGACGUUACUCGCAGAAGAAGCACCGGCUAACUCUGUGCCAGCAGCCGCGGUAAUACAGAGGGUGCAAGCGUUAAUCGGAAUUACUGGGCGUAAAGCGCACGCAGGCGGUUGGUUAAGUCAGAUGUGAAAGCCCCGGGCUCAACCUGGGAAUUGCAUUUGAAACUGGCCAACUAGAGUACGUGAGAGGGGGGUAGAAUUCCAAGUGUAGCGGUGAAAUGCGUAGAGAUUUGGAGGAAUACCAGUGGCGAAGGCGGCCCCCUGGCACGAUACUGACGCU